rnacentral:rRNA from 1 species
CCCUUAGAUGUCCUGGGCCGCACGCGCGUUACACUGAUGCAUUCAACGAGCAUAUAACCUUGGCCGAGAGGCCUGGGUAAUCUUGUUAACAUGCAUCGUGAUAGGGAUAGAUUAUUGCAAUUAUUAAUCUUGAACGAGGAAUUCCUAGUAAUCGCAGUUCAUCAAACUGCAAUGAUUACGUCCCUGCCCUUUGUACACACCGCCCGUCGCACCUACCGAUUGAAUGGUCCGGUGAGGAAUCGGGAUUGUGGUUUAGCUCCUUCAUUGGGGCCUGACUGCGAGAACUUGUCCGAACCUUAUCAUUUAGAGGAAGGUGAAGUCGUAACA